rnacentral:rRNA from 1 species
GACGAACGCUGGCGGCGUGCUUAACACAUGCAAGUCGAACGGAAAGGCCCUGCUUUUGUGGGGUGCUCGAGUGGCGAACGGGUGAGUAACACGUGAGUAACCUGCCCUUGACUUUGGGAUAACUUCAGGAAACUGGGGCUAAUACCGGAUAGGAGCUCCUGCUGCAUGGUGGGGGUUGGAAAGUUUCGGCGGUUGGGGAUGGACUCGCGGCUUAUCUGCUUGUUGGUGGGGUAGUGGCUUACCAAGGCUUUGACGGGUAGCCGGCCUGAGAAGGUGACCGGCCACAUUGGGACUAAGAGACGGCCCAGAAUCCUACGGGAGGCAGCAGUGGGGAAUAUUGCACAAUGGGCGGAAGCCUGAUGCAGCAACGCCGCGUGCGGGAUGACGGCCUUCGGGUUAUAAACCGCUUUCGCCUGUGACGAAGCGUGAGUGACGGUAAUGGGUAAAGAAGCACCGGCUAACUACGUG